UGUUAACGAAGAAAUGCAGCUCAUUGCCAGUAACGAGUUGAAUAGAACGUGCUUUGGCUCCUAAACGAUGAAAUCUCGAACUUCUUUGCCUGUAACGAGUAGAAUAGCACUAGCUCCAGGUAAUUCAAUCUGAAAUCUGGCCAUUUUCGGGUAACGAGUUCGCAGAACUACAAAUGGUUUAUCAGAAAGAAUUAUGUAUCUUUUCUAUUAGGUGUUAACGAAGAAAUGCAGCUCAUUGCCAUAACGAGUUCAAUAGAACGUGCUUUGG